ACUAAACCUAGCCCGACCCUCCCUAAAUAAAACUACCAUAGUCAAUUAAAUCAAAACAUUCACCGCCCACCAAGAGUAUAGGAGAUAGAAACUGAAAUCAGGCGCUAUAGAGAUAGUACCGCAAGGGAAAGAUGAAAGACGAAAUUACAGUACAAAACAGCAAAGAUUAACCCUUGUACCUUUUGCAUAAUGAGUUAACUAGAACAAUCUGACAAAGCGAACUGCAGCCAGAAGCCCCGAAACCGGACGAGCUACCUACAAGCAGUCUAAAGAACGAACUCGUCUAUGUAGCAAAAUAGUGAGAAGACUUAUAGGUAGAGGUGAAAAGCCAAUCGAGCCCGGUGAUAGCUGGUUGUCCAGAAUAGAAUUUUAGUUCUACCUAAAGUUUACCAAAAAGAAACAUUUAAUCCCCAUGUAAACUUUAGAGGUAUUCAAAAGAGGUACAGCUCUUUUGACAAAGGAUACAACCUUAACUAGAGAGUAAGCAUUUUAUAUUCCAUAGUAGGCCUAGAAGCAGCCACCAAUUAAGAAAGCGUUAAAGCUCAACACUAAUAAACCUGUUAAUACCCUUAAAAAUAGCCAACUCCUAGACCUAAUACUGGACUAUUCUAUUAUCUAAUAGAAGAAAUAAUGUUAAUAUAAGUAACAAGAAAUAUUUCUCCCUGCAUAAGCUUAUAUCAGAACGGAUGCCCACUGAUAGUUAACGAUCCAAUAAACUAAGCCCACUAACUAGAACCUUAUUAUAUCCAUCGUUAACCCAACACAGGCAUGCUUAAAGGGAAAGAUUAAAAGAAGUAAAAGGAACUCGGCAAACAUAGACCCCGCCUGUUUACCAAAAACAUCACCUCUAGCAUGCCAAGUAUUAGAGGCACUGCCUGCCCAGUGACAUACGUUAAACGGCCGCGGUACUCUGACCGUGCAAAGGUAGCAUAAUCAUUUGUUCCUUAAUUGGGGACUUGUAUGAACGGCCACACGAGAGUCUAACUGUCUCUUUCUUCCAAUCAGUGAAAUUGACCUCCCCGUGAAGAGGCGGGGAUAAGCCUAUAAGACGAGAAGACCCUAUGGAGCUUGAAUUAACUAGUUCAAUUAUAAAACAUAUACCCUACGGGUUUAAACCGACAUUUUAGUGAGCUAACAAUUUUGGUUGGGGUGACCUCGGAGAAUAAAAAAACCUCCGAAUGAUAUUAUGACCUAGACUUAACCAGUCAAAGUCUACAAAUCACUUAUUGACCCAAUUAUUGAUCAACGGAACAAGUUACCCUAGGGAUAACAGCGCAAUCCUAUUUUAGAGUCCAUAUCGACAAUAGGGUUUACGACCUCGAUGUUGGAUCAGGACAUCCCAAUGGUGCAGCAGCUAUUAAAGGUUCGUUUGUUCAACGAUUAAAGUCCUACGUGAUCUGAGUUCAGACCGGAGCAAUCCAGGUCGGUUUCUAUCUAUAUGCCAUUUCUCCCAGUACGAAAGGACAAGAGAAAUAGAGCCCACUCCUAUAUGAAGCGCUCUAAACUUAAUUCUAUGAAUUAAUCUCAAUACAGACAAGUUGACUAAUCCUGCCCAAGACCAGGGCCU
rnacentral:rRNA from 1 species